GGUUCUCCUACUUUCAGUAACUAAGAAACCCUCACAGAAGAUAUCUAUACUUUUCUCCUAACAGCUUCUUUAGAACUGCAGUCUUUCAUGGUGUGGCAGGCAAAUAAAACUGUCAGAAAUAGAAUAUAAAAAUAAAACUGCAUAUCUGAAAGUGUGUAUGACAGUGCUAUAAUAAAUAAAACUCCUCCUGCUGAGGAGUUACUCAGCAGGCUGUAGGCAGCCAAGUUUUUUUUGUUUUGCUAACCCUUUAUGUUACAAUGGAGAGUUGAUGGCUGGGCUUCUCAACGUUUCAUUUGUAUAUUCGUUUCUGGUUUCUCAUGGGAAUACCGAUGUCUCACCUCUUCUUUGUAUAUUCCUGGAAGCACAUCAGUAUUAAUGAAAAACAUGCCUUAAAUACAGAGGCUGAAUGUUUUGGAUCAAGGCCAUCAAGCUGCAAAUGGACUUACAAAUGGAACCUCAAAUGAACUCAACUCACGGCUUCUACUGAGAACCCCUGGAUCCACCUGCUGGUCCCUCACUAGCCUAAAAAGUUCCCCUCUGGAGGACACCACAACUGCAGGGCCCCUUCUUCACCCCUAACCAUCAGGAAGUAGCCAGAACGACUGCUGCCAGUUCCCAACAGCAAUUGGUGUGUCCUGUCUAGAGGGGGGACUGAGGAGGUUCCAGCUGGGCUUCCUGGGUCGAGUAGGGGCUCAGAAAGCUGUGAAACUCACUCAUUUCCUGUAUCAGGACUUACUCUCAUACUGGAUGAAUAAUAUUGAAGAUAUAUGCUUAAAAUAUUCCUAACAUCAGAAUUUGUGCAUGUGUUUUCUUCCCCCAAGAAAGCUAUAAACAGCAAAACUUUUGCUGUAAGCUUCCCUGUGUCCUCACUCCCACUCUCCCUUCCCCCUCCCCUGAAACAAAAAGGAAUGGUAAAAGCCAGUUUCUUUUUGUGACCAGCAGACCUUAUCUAUGCUCCCAGAUCCAAUUCCUUGUUAACACAAUUUGUAAAAUCCUGUGAGAUUCUGUCUCCUUUGCCAUGUGGCUGCAAGGUUAUAAAGUAGAUAAAACUUAAGUUAGAAUUCCGGUUUUCCUUAAGACCUAAAACAUGUUAAUUGCCUUUGUUUCUCACUCUGGUAACAUCUUCCCACCACAUGUAUUUCCCACCUUAAAGAGUUUAAAAGGUGACAAAAAAAUCGAACACUGGCUACCCGCUAGGGACCACUUCCACGCUGUGGAAGCUUUGUACUGUCACUCUGCUCAAUAAAGCCUAGGGCUUUUUUUUUUUCUCUUAGUCGGAUACGCGUCUCUCUCUCACAGGGGGCUGCCGCCACACCAAAUUUUUGGCAUGGCUAAGGCAAGAACUUUCGGUGUUACACAAAUAUCAGUACCAUUUGUUUAUACCAACAACAUCCAAGGUGAGAGCUAAAUCAAGAAUGUACUACUAUUUACAACAGCCACAAAUAAAAUACCCAGAAAUACAGCUAACCAGGGAGGUGAGAAAUCUCUACCCUAAACAUUACAAAAUGCUGUUGAAAAAAUUAGAAACAACAGCAACAAAAAGAAAUAUAUUUCAUGCUCAAUUAUAGAAAGAAUUAAUAUUGUUAAAGUGAUCAUACUGCCCACAGUAAUUUACUGGUUCAGUGCUAUUUCUAUCAAACUACCAUGAACAUUUUCAAUGCAAUUAGAAAAAAAACUCUAAAAUUCCUAUGAAACCAAAAAUAGCCCAAAAGUCAAAACAGGUCUAAGAACAAAAACAAAGAGAGGCAUCAAAAUACACAACUUCACACUAUAAUACAAGGCUACAAUAACUGAAACAGCAUGGUAAUGGUACAAAAACAGACACAUAGACCCAUGGAACCAGUUAAAGAAGCGGAAAUAAAGCUUUACACCUACAGUCAUCUGAUUUAAGCAAAGUCAAUAAGAACAAACAUUGGGGAAACAACUCACUAUUCAAUAAAUGGUACUAAAUAACUGGCUAGCCAUAUGCAGAAGACUGAAACUAGAUAUCUUCUUUUUACCAUAUGCAAAAACCAACUGAAGAUGGGUUAAAGAUGUAACUGUUUAACUAAUAUGGUUUGGCUGUGUCCUCACCCAAAUCUCAUCUUGAAUUGUAGCUCCCAUAAUUUCCACAUGUUGUGGGAAGGAUCCAGCAGGAGGUAAUUUAAUCAUAGGGGUGGGUCUUUCCCAUGUUGUUUUUGUGACAGUAAAUAAGUCUCAUGAGAUAUAAUUGUUCUAUAAAGGAGAGUUUCCCUACACAAGCUAUUUUACCUGCUGCUGUGUAAGAUGUGACUUUGCUCCUCAUUCACCUUCUGCCAUAAUUGUGAGGUCUCCCUUGUUAUGUGAAACUGUGAGCCCAUUAAACCUCUUUCCUUUAUAAAUUAACUAGCCUUGGGUAUGUCUUUAUUAACAGCAUAAGAAUAGACUAAUACAGUAAAUUGGUACUAGGUAGUGGCAUACUGCUGUAAAGAUAUCAGAAAAUGUGGAAGCAACUUUGGAACUAGGUAACAGGCAGAGGUUGGAACAGUUUAGAGGACUCAGAAGAAAACAGAAAGAUGUGUGAAAGUUUGAAACCUUCUAGAGACUUGUUGAAUGCUUUGAACAAAAUGCUGAUAGUGAUAUCAACAAUAAAGUCGAGGCAGAGGUGGUCUCAGAUGGAGAUAAGGAACUUGUUGGUAACUGGAGA
rnacentral:lncRNA from 10 species